rnacentral:rRNA from 1 species
CUCAGGACGAACGCUGGCGGCGUGCCUAAUACAUGCAAGUCGAACGAACUCUGGUAUUGAUUGGUGCUUGCAUCAUGAUUUACAUUUGAGUGAGUGGCGAACUGGUGAGUAACACGUGGGAAACCUGCCCAGAAGCGGGGGAUAACACCUGGAAACAGAUGCUAAUACCGCAUAACAACUUGGACCGCAUGGUCCGAGUUUGAAAGAUGGCUUCGGCUAUCACUUUUGGAUGGUCCCGCGGCGUAUUAGCUAGAUGGUGAGGUAACGGCUCACCAUGGCAAUGAUACGUAGCCGACCUGAGAGGGUAAUCGGCCACAUUGGGACUGAGACACGGCCCAAACUCCUACGGGAGGCAGCAGUAGGGAAUCUUCCACAAUGGACGAAAGUCUGAUGGAGCAACGCCGCGUGAGUGAAGAAGGGUUUCGGCUCGUAAAACUCUGUUGUUAAAGAAGAACAUAUCUGAGAGUAACUGUUCAGGUAUUGACGGUAUUUAACCAGAAAGCCACGGCUAACUACGUGCCAGCAGCCGCGGUAAUACGUAGGUGGCAAGCGUUGUCCGGAUUUAUUGGGCGUAAAGCGAGCGCAGGCGGUUUUUUAAGUCUGAUGUGAAAGCCUUCGGCUCAACCGAAGAAGUGCAUCGGAAACUGGGAAACUUGAGUGCAGAAGAGGACAGUGGAACUCCAUGUGUAGCGGUGAAAUGCGUAGAUAUAUGGAAGAACACCAGUGGCGAAGGCGGCUGUCUGGUCUGUAACUGACGCUGAGGCUCGAAAGUAUGGGUAGCAAACAGGAUUAGAUACCCUGGUAGUCCAUACCGUAAACGAUGAAUGCUAAGUGUUGGAGGGUUUCCGCCCUUCAGUGCUGCAGCUAACGCAUUAAGCAUUCCGCCUGGGGAGUACGGCCGCAAGGCUGAAACUCAAAGGAAUUGACGGGGGCCCGCACAAGCGGUGGAGCAUGUGGUUUAAUUCGAAGCUACGCGAAGAACCUUACCAGGUCUUGACAUACUAUGCAAAUCUAAGAGAUUAGACGUUCCCUUCGGGGACAUGGAUACAGGUGGUGCAUGGUU